rnacentral:tRNA from 1 species
GAAUUUAGUCCAGAGGUAGGAUAUUUGCCUAGAAUGCAUGAGGCCUUGGGUUCAAACCCAAUUCA